rnacentral:lncRNA from 1 species
GCCUUCGAUAUUGCAAUGAAAAUACUUUCUCUUAUCAUUAAUCUUUUUCAAAACUUUCUUCUUGAGCUUGGCCUCAUUUUUUUGCUUCUUUGCAGGCUUCUUCUUUUUCUUGAAAGAAGACUUUCUCUUAGAGAAAGUCUGCUCCACAGUCAGAACCGUAUCUUUUGAACUUUUCAAGGUGCCCUCAGCUGACACCAGUA